rnacentral:lncRNA from 1 species
UGACAACUGAAAACCACCUCACAACUUUGUGACAUAAAAGUUGAACCAGAUGAUACCAGUAUGUUCAAAGAGUUCAAGCAGCUUGUCCAAGGUCAUGCAGUGAAGUGGUAAAGUCAAGAUUUUAAUCCAUUUCUACCGGCUUCCUAGACUAAGGAAGGACUAUACAUGGAAAGAGCAAUAAGAAAACUUUCUGCAAGCCAAGAUUGAAGCAUUAUCCAGUGUGGGGUCAACUUUGGGUCAUGAACAAAAUAAUUUUCUCAACUUCAAGGCACAAACAAUGGGCAGUGGUGAAUCUCCCAAGUUAGGUACAACCAUAUACGGACUAUUCUCAGUGUCCUGCUGACCUUCUCAGGGAACACUCAUUCUUCUCAUUGAGCAUUUAUUCUAAAUUACUUAUGGUAUAUUUAGAUUAGGUAGAAUUUUCUUUGCUAGCUUGAGCACAUACAUAUUACCUAAAAGACCAUUUGUAAGGUAAUACAUAUUCACAAUUCAACAUAGAAAAUUUUAAAAUUGUUAUAGUGCAACCUUUUGUAACUCCUGAAAUCUGAGUAUAAAGA